GGAUCAUUAGACAUAGCUGGUUCGCCAGCGUCUGUCUCAGUUCUGAGCAGACUUUUUACCAGUGGGGAUGGCAUGAUCGAGGAUAACAAAACCAUGAACAACGGAUCUCUAGGCUCCUGCAUCGAUGAAGAACGCAGCGAAACGCGAUAGUUAUUGUGAAUUGCAGAUUUUGUGAAUCAUCGAGUCUUUGAACGCACAUUGCGCCUCUUGGUAUUCCAGGAGGCAUGCCUGUCUGAGCGUCAUUGAUAUUCAUUCUUUGAAUUUUGAAUGGCGAUGAGGGUGUCUUCCGAGACUCCYUUGAAAGAGAUGGAAACGACGAGUAUGAUAGUAUCAAUUGCUUGUUAAGAUCUUUCUUGACCUCAGAUCAGGUAGGGUUACCCGCUGAACUUAAGCAUA
rnacentral:rRNA from 1 species